CGUCUCGAAUUCUCAAAUUAGGUAGAUGACCGAGGCACUGAAUCCAAGGUCUUCCCUUCUUCGAAAAAGCGCAUUCGAUCGAAUUGACCGGAUCACCCAAUUCUCCGUCCGUAGUGGGUCAAAUCUAAGCUUCUCCUCUUUAGAUCAGAGAAUGACUGGGGAAUAGAUGCUUUCUUUUCUUUAGUUUGUCUUAUCCUGUCUCGGAACUGGUCGUAGCGGCAGCGUACUGAGCUUCGGAAGAAGAAGGGUCGUCGCUCGAACGAAUUCGUUUGGUUCUCUUUUGCUUAUAGAAUCGGGAUCUGAUGCCCCAAUUCAGUCAGUAUAAAUUCCUUUCCUUUUCUUUCCGUAAAGGUGGCCAAGGCCGAAGCUUCUUUUCUUGACCGGGAGUUGGCGCAAAAGCACUUUGUUCAACUUGACUGGUCACGCGACGGGUUUCCUUUUAAAUCCGUAUUCUAGGUUUCGCCUUCAUUUCUCAAUUGAGUCUAUUCAUUGAUUGGCCGAGACAAAAGGAAGAACUCCUAAGUCAGUCAUCAAAGGCAGAAGGAUCAAAUCGCCUUUAUUUGCAAAAAGAAUCCCUAUUAGGAAUUUCCUCGAAAGGCUAAUCCUCGGCUUGGCUUUACGCCUCUGCCGCUCUGAAAAGAAAGAAAAGAAUUACUAAAAACCAACAGUCCUUAAGCCUCUUAAGGAGAAGUAAUUCCCUAACCGAAAGAAAAAAGAGGAACAUCCCCCCGUGCAUCAACCCCUAGAAAGGUUCCCCCUGGAAAAGGGCUAGGGAUACCUUUUCCGGAAAAUAAAAAGAUAGUUAUUUGCUUACACAAGCGAUUCGAACAAACUACUGACUUUACUGUUUAGGAGUUGCAUUGGAGGUAAGAAAGCCGACGCUUCUUAUUAUUUUAUCUUUCGUUUCGCCUGGCCGCUGGCUCAGAGGGGCCCGUUCUCCGCUCCUAGAUUUACUAGUUCAUUCAUAGCUCUUAGAGAGAAAGCUCUACCUCUAGCCCUUACCUUCUAGCUCUAUGAUUGAGAUUAGCUAGCCUUAAGCUCUUCCCGCUUCAUUUCUGUUAAUCACCCCCGGUUCUUGUUGUCUUACAUAGUUCUUAGGUUGUUCCUAACUCACCUCUCUUUGAACUACCCAACUCAGGUUUUCUUUCGCACUACGACGAGGGACUGACCGCUGACCCAACUCCGAGGUCUAUCCGCUCCUGGGGCUGUCUGAUCCCUAGUGUUAGCUCUUGCUCCUCCUAACCUAACCUUUUCUUGCGACUUUAUUUCCCAGUUUCAAAAGCGGGUUUUGUUAUAGAAAGGUGGUCAUAGAAUAGAAUUCCUUGCCUAAGGGCAAAUUACUGCUAUGAAAUGGGAACGAUGAUAUAUGCUUCUUCAAGUCUCAUCGUCGGUUUUGGCACUGAGAUGAUAUCUCGUUGUGGAAAUCUCGUUGAAGUUGAUCAUUUCAUCGAAAAGAUUCUCAGUAAAAGCAGAGAUUGUCUUGGUUUUCUUAGCCGAAUCGAUACACUAGACCCGAGCAUCUUUCCUGAAACAGGG